GGGGGCGAUGGGUAUCGACAAAGGCGGAUAGCGGCGGCAGUUGCGAGCCGAGGCGCCGCUGGCCUCGUAAAAAGCGGCAAAAAACAAACGCCAACACUGGCACGUACGCUUACGCUGCCUAAUUAGUUAGGGAGCGCGCUUCUCCAGGGCCGGGCCGGGAGCCCGAAGAGAGGCGACGACAAUCCUGGCCGCCCGCGUGGGUUUCACCCGCGAGCCCACGUGCGGUAAUCGCGGGCUGGCGCGUGGCCGGUUUGCCGAUGGAACGGCGCGCGCGAGACUUAAACAUCGGCUACGCUCGUAGGCGCUACCGCACGCACCCUUUGGACCCGGGUUCAAUUCCCGGCGCCUCCACUU
rnacentral:tmRNA from 1 species